UACAGAGGUGGCAAGCGUUGUUCGGAAUUACUGGGCGUAAAGGGCUCGUAGGCGGCCAACUAAGUCAUACGUGAAAUCCCUCAGCUUAACUGGGGAACUGCGUGUGAUACUGGAUGGCUUGGAUUUGGGAGAGGGAUGCGGAAUUCCAGGUGUAGCGGUGAAAUGCGUAGAUAUCUGGAGGAACACCGGUGGCGAAGGCGGCAUCCUGGACCAAUAUUGACGCUGAGGAGCGAAAGCUAGGGGAGCGAACGGG
rnacentral:rRNA from 1 species